AAUAUGAAAAUAUGUGCAUAGCAAAAAGUAGAAAAAGGCUAUCAUUUCCCCAAAUCACGCCGACAACAAAAUCCCCUUCUCUACUGUACUGUUCUCUCUACACGGCUGUGAUUUGGGUACGGUGGGCAAGGGAGAUCAUGGGAGGACGCAGCGGGCUGCUCGACCUCGUCAUGGCCGGCGCUGCCGUGGCGACGGUGCUGGAGGUUGGAGGCGUGGAGGCGGAGGAGGCAGUGACUGAGCUGACGAAGGGUACGCUGGUUCACGUAUUUCCCGGCGAAUUGGUGUGUGCUGCAGCGUCUUCCAAGCCAUUUCUGAUCGAGGAGGGGACCACUCUUUCGAGCAGCUGUUCUUGCGCUGUCCACCAACGAGAUCGCAUCUCACUGUCGCUGAUCUGGAAAGGCAGAUGUCGGUCGCCGGGGAGAUCAUGGGUGCAGGCAGUGAACUUUGGCGUUGAGUAGAACGGCCUGUCGUUCCUUGUCGCUUAUAGGAAGAGGAAGAGCAACAGCAUUUCCUUGGAUUUCUGCUGGAUCCACUGGAGAUUUGGAGCCAAGAAGGAUAUGUGGUGGCUAUAAUAAGCGCUGGCGCGACUACACGGAGAAGCUGGCACUCGCGACCUGCGAAGCAGUACGCGAGGUGAACCGAGUAUCCUAGAGCCAGCAACCUGUGUGGAGCAGCGCAGCACACCAGGCAAAGCUGGAUGCCGCAAGUAGCAGUGCGGGUUUGCCCUUCUACUCUGUUGCCUUAGUCUAGGACCUCUGCUUUUUAUUGAUGAUUUCCCUAAUCGGUUUGCUAAAGUUCCAUUACGUUUGUUUUCCAUGUCUAGAUUCUUCUAGAAUUAUACGUGAUAAAAAUUGAAAUAGAAAAUAGCUGUAGAAAUUUGACCGAUAAAGUUGAUUAAUGUUGUGCACCCAGAGAAAACAUUAAUUUUGGUCGAGGGUUAGUAACAAAAAAAUAGUUAAGUUUUUCAUCGGUGAGCUACCAUGCUACGCAUGUUCGUGAUAUAAAUUUUCUUCGUGGCUUCAUACGGAUCAAUUCUCAGUCCAUCUAUGUUCACCCUUUAAUUUAUUCAUAGUAUUCCAGAUUGAUUUCGAACUAAAUCUUUUGAAAUGGUGUUGUACAUUUGUUCUCGUAUGUUUUAAGCGAUGCUACAUGGUAAAAAGGCAGCCCGGUGCAUGUAGCUCCCGCUUGCGCUGGGUCCGGGGAAGGGUCCGACCACUUUGGGUCUAUUGUACGCAGCCUUUCCCUACAUUUCUGUAAGAGGCUGUUUCCAGGACUUGAACCCCUGACCUCAUGGUCACAAGGCAACAGCUUUAAGUGAUGCUAGAUGGGAGGAAAUUUUUAUAUCAAUACCUUUGGUCUCAAUUUCCCAGGGAGCAACUCACAUAAGUUGUACGGGUCCUGGAGGCUUGUACGUUAUCAUAUCUUAGAAGAGUUCUGAUGCAUUACCUGAUCUGGUGGGUUGUCAUUCCUAAUUCCAGGUGUUCGCAAGGAAGUUCCGAAGACAGCAUGGGAUGUGAAGAUUUGAGCAGACAUUAAGCAGUUAUAUUACCCAAAGUUGAUGGUGUUUCUGUCGUUCCUUCUUCGGGGCCUUCGAUGUGCUGGGCGUUCUGCCGUCCCCUUCGGUACGCAAGGCAUCCUACCCACCUUACUGGUCCAACUGAUCGUCCUCGGCGCGUGUGGAUGUUGUUGUGUCGAUCUGCCUUCAAUCUGCUGUACUCGUGUUGUGAUGUGUGACGGCGUGUGUUGAUUCCCUAGGUGUACCAUCUUGUAUGAUUCUCUCUUGUGGGUGUGGCUUAUGUUAGUCCAAAGAUUACCGAGUUUGCAUUAACUACGGAUGAGUGUAUUGCGUUAGGAAACCAAUUCAUGUUCUUCUCAGUUUGUACGUGCAAUCAUCUAAUUUCCUUUUUUCUUCAUGCAAUGGUAUAUGCCAGUGUCCUUGCCUAA